rnacentral:rRNA from 1 species
GAUGAACGCUGACAGAAUGCUUAACACAUGCAAGUCUUUGGCGAAUCUGUGCUUGCACCGGCUAGCCAAGGCGGACGGGUGAGUAACGCGUAAAGAACUUGCCCUGCAGACAGGGAUAACAGACGGAAACGACUGAUAACACCUGAUACAGUUGCCUGCACGCAUGUGCCGGGCAAUGAAAAGAGAUGCUGCAGGAGAGCUUUGCGUCCUAUUAGCUUGUUGGUGAGGUGACGGCUCACCAAGGCGAUGAUAGGUAGCCGGCCUGAGAGGGUGAACGGCCACAAGGGGACUGAGAUACGGCCCUUACUCCUACGGGAGGCAGCAGUGGGGAAUAUUGGACAAUGGGGGCAACACUGAUCCAGCAAUUCUGUGUGCACGAAGAAGGUUUUCGGAUUGUAAAGAGCUUUCAGCAGGUAAGAAGAAAGUGACGGUACCUGCAGAAGAAGCGACGGCUAAAUACGUG